AUAAAAAGUAACUCCCUUGACAGAAAUUGACAGCAAACUUUACCUUUUAUCGCGGAACUUUUUCUUCUUCCCAUCCCGGUGACGAUGGACGGCACGACAUUUACCGAGUGUCAAAGUCUAUUUCGGCCCAUCCUUCGUUGAUUUUACUCUUUCGUCGACUCCCCAUCGAGAUUUCUGGUCUCUGGCAUGGUUACUCGAGGCUGGCGCGAAAAUACUCGGGAAACUGUUGCAGACCACCAGUCGGGCAGAUAGAUACAACUACGAGUCGACGAAUCUAUCUCCACCGUUCUUCUUCUACGAAAGAAAUACGAAGGAAUAUCGUUGAAUUUUUAACACGUGCUUUCCAACACUUUCACUUGGUCGCCGCGUAACACGAUUGUGAAACGAAUGAAAGAAAAGAAAGGAAAAAGAAACGGCCGUCUUUUCGAGAUCGAGAAUCGAUAUCGCGUGGCUUUUCGGUCGGCCGGCCGCUGCGGAGCGCGAUCGGCACAGCAUCCACGCUACCGGAUCACUGGUGAGACACUAACCGACAAGAGACAGAGAACGCAGCAGACACGAGGUAGAGGUAAGCUACACCGCAAUUGGUCGGGUUGGGAGAGAUGGAGAAGAGUGUGUUAGCAGGGUGCAGGGGAAGAAAGAGACGGCGGAUAAAAGUGGACAGGGUGGGAAGUAGAAAUAAGCAGGUAGUGGGAGUGGAGUAGUAGUAGCUGGUUGCGUACACCAGCCUUAAAAGCAGGUAUCCACGUGGCCGAUCCUCGUAACGUCGCCUCACUUCGUAUCGCGACCAGUUUCCUACCAAAAUAACCACCGAAUUUCUCCUCUCCUCUUUUUCCUUCCAUUCCCUACUUUUCCAAUUUUUCUCUUCGAAAAUCGUAUUACUCCUUCGUAAUCGCGGUCGAUUCGGAAAGUGUAGUAAAGCAAGACGUACAACAUACGUACCGAUUUGGAAAGAGAUUUGUGGAUCCCCUUCGAAAGAUUUCCUUAAUUCGAUUGUAUUUUCAAAGGGAAAUACGAGAACCGAAAUCCUCUCCUGCAACGAAUAACUUCUACACGAUACGCGAUAACCGAGUAAAUUGGAUGGAAAUUCACGAGCCGAGAGGAUUUUCUGCACGUGCAUCUUUUACGGCGGAAAAAUUAAAACUCGAGAACCACUCCCUCUUCGUUAUUUUAUUUACGUUCGUUAUUUCACGGGAAUUCAACUUUUUUAACGACAGUUCAAAGUUUAGAAAAACAAAAAAAAUAAAACGUGAGUUACAAACGUGUAUUAGAUAGGUUAAUUAUGCGUAUACGUGAUAUUUUAAAGACUUUUCUAAAAGUGGACAAUUUAAAUUAUAAAAUAUAAAAAUAAAAAUUACAAGAAAGAUCAUUGGCGUGAUCGGUACACGAGCACGUGUACAAAGGAAUCUCGUCUCGGUGGACAUUAAUUAAGGAAAGAACGGGGAGAUAGAAUUAUAGCCGGAGGAAGAUGGCGACGAAGGAUCGUUCGGAAAUUACACGUUGUGUGGGUGCAUUGCCUACUUCUUUCUCGCAUUUUUCUUAUUCCCACGUUCCUUCCACGUUAAUGAUUGGUGGCCGCGUCGAUACCAUACCCUUUCACGCGAGCACUAACCGUGUAGCAAUUAACCGUGAAUAUUGUUCGAGGUAAUAAAAGUUACGAUCCG